GAUGAACGCUGGCGGCGUGCCUAAUACAUGCAAGUCGAGCGAACAGAUGAGGAGCUUGCUCCUCUGACGUUAGCGGCGGACGGGUGAGUAACACGUGGAUAACCUACCUAUAAGACUGGGAUAACUUCGGGAAACCGGAGCUAAUACCGGAUAAUAUAUUGAACCGCAGGGUUCAAUAGUGAAAGACGGUUUUGCUGACACUUAUAGAUGGAUCCGCGCCGCAUUAGCUAGUUGGUAAGGUAACGGCUUACCAAGGCAACGAUGCGUAGCCGACCUGAGAGGGUGAUCGGCCACACUGGAACUGAGACACGGUCCAGACUCCUACGGGAGGCAGCAGUGGGGAAUCUUCCGCAAUGGGCGAAAGCCUGACGGAGCCACGCCGCGUGAGUGAUGAAGGUCUUCGGAUCGUAAAACUCUGUUAUUAGGGAAGAACAAAUGUGUAAUUAACUAUGCACGUCUUGACGGUACCUAAUCAGAAAGCCACGGCUAACUACGUG
rnacentral:rRNA from 1 species